rnacentral:lncRNA from 1 species
GGGAGGUGUUUGGGCUCUGGGGAUGGCUUGGGCCAUCCUUUUGGUGAUAAGUGAACUCUCACUCUGAGUUCACAUGAGAUUCAAUCAUUAAAUAGUGUGGGCACCUCGCCUGCCACUCUCUCUCUCUCUUCUUCCUGCAUUGCCCUUGGCUAUGUGAUGUGCUUGUUUCUGCUUUGUCUUCUACCAUGAGUAAAAGUUUCCCGAAGUCUCCCCAGAAGCAGAUGUCUGCACUGUGCUUCUUGUACAGCCUGAAGAACCAUGAGCCAAGUGGAAACUGGAGUGCAGGCGCUGGGGCUAGCCAGCUGCUUUGGUGCUGACAGGGGCAAACUCCACUUAUUGGAACCCAUUGUACUCAACCUCUCAUGGGAGAGAGGAUGCAGAUCUCAGCUCCAUGGACUUGGCAAGCCCACAUUUGAAUUUUGCCCUUUGAUCAUCAUCAGAUCACAAAAGAUCAUGCUGGUGUCCCUGCUUCUUCCUGGUGAUUCUCUACAACUUCUAUAGCUUGUACCACGCCACUUAGAGAAACAGAAAAGUAACUGAAGAGGAAUGUAGUAUACAGAAUGUGAACCAUACCUCAGUGAACAUCCCUUCUUUCUAAAAUUGUAAUUCAAAAGUUCCCUGCUGUCUUCUCUCUUCAUACAAACUUGGUUUUAUGUGUGUGUGUGUGUUUGUGUGUGUGUGUGUGUGUUUCUAACCUAACUUUUCUAGUUGUUUUUAGCAAGAACAUUGGUCAGCAGAAACUCAAGCUAUUUCUUCUUAAGUAGAAAUGGAAUGUAGAUAUUAUUUGAAUAUUUCAAUUAAGUAAGGUGAAUUAUAGGCUUGGGAUCUGUUAGGCUUCUUUCAGGGUGAAGUAAUUAUCACAUUCAUGACAAUAAAAACACGAAAAGGAAAACAUGAUUGAUGAUACAUACUAUGAGAGCUAUGUAAUUUAAUCAAUUUUAUAUAAUAUAAAGAAUUUUAUGCAACUUUAACACAGUAAUCUUUCUACCUUGCAAAUUUUUAGUACACAAUGCUGCAAGGAACAUGGGUAUACAGAUUAAUGGUAUUAUAAGUCUGUGCCUAAACAAUUUUUUUAAAAAAUACUAAAUAUACUGGAAUGUGCAAAAGAAGCACCUAAGAAAUGCUGGCUAUCAGAUUAUAACAGUGGGCUAUUAAAAAGAGAAUAAUGUAAUGGAAAUGAUUGAUAUAACUAUUCUGGUUAGAAACUGCAAAACAUUUCAGUUGACCUUAGACAAAAAAUGAAUAUGCAAUAUGACAAAAGAAGUAGACUGCAAAAAUGGCAAGAUAACUCAAAUAUUCUCUAAUUUACACACAUGCAUAAGUAGUAAUCUGUCAUGAAUUGGCACCACUUCAGCUGAAAUAAACCAAUAAAUUGUCAGUUUCAGCAUUUUGGAAAAGGCUUUAUUCAGCACCCAUUCACUCAGCCAAUAGUGGCUGAAUGACGGCAGAUACUUAGGCAACGAGGCUUCAUUACAGAAACGGUUUCUUCUGUACACUAAGAAUCUAGUGGAUGAAACACAAAUUAAUUGAAUAAUCACAGAAAUAUAUUUAUAAUUGUAAAUUGGAUACCUAUUAGAAGGAGAGAACAUUGAAUAAUGGCAGAACAGUGAACACAAUUACUGCCUAUCCAACAGCCACUACCACUUCUUGCUUUUUAGUCAUAGUCCCUCUUACACGGUUGAAGUAUUUUGCCACAUCCCCCUUCCUCCCUGCUGGGAUCUUCUUAACCAAGGUUGCCACGUUUGGGGCUCCAGAAGUAUCUUGCCAAGGUAAGGAAAUCAUCUGAGAAACACGGGAUGUCAAGUCAGAAGCUUUGCAUCUUGGCAUUGAGCCACUGUUAGCCACUAGAUUCAUCUAUGUAAAAUGAAUAAAACUCAUACAAUUACUUGGACAAUAUUCAGUUAUUUGGAGCUAAACACAUCUGUAUUAAAAAAAGCAAUAUGAACACACACACAAGCAUAUUCACUAGUAUAUGCUACUAUUAUCUCCAUGUAAUUGUUAACAUUUUAUAUAAUGAUAUUGUCCAACUAUUUUAAAUGAACAUUUACUUCAAAGACUUAAAUGUAUGUUUGAAAAAAGUGUUUGAGAAUUAAGGUUGACAGCAUUACUGUCUCCUGUAUGUCAGAGUACAUUUUAUUUUUCAUCACUUCAGUGAAAUGUGAAGCUAGAUACAGCCAUAGAAAACACCAAUAGAAAUUUAGCCUAUUGCUAUCAAAUGUCUUCAAUACAAUUUUUAAUGAAAUUCUCAUUUCUCUGCCUCACUAAUACAGCCUGUUAAAGCCAAUAAAGCAUUUUAGAACUCUUUAGAAAUAAGUGAACUCAAGGGAACAGUAUUUUCCAGGAAAAUGAUAAUGUGAUACAGAGCCUUUUAUGUUUGGGUCACUAGUUUGAAAGUAGCUCACGUUGUAAGUGAUGGAAAGUCAUUACUGUUCACUGGCCUAUGUGAAAUUAGUAGGUGGUUUCAGUCAAAUUGUUAGUGAAUAGGUGUUCACAUCCCAACUGGCAUUAAUUGACAUGCAUGUUGACAGUUUUAUUAUGAGUACCAAGGACUGUAGGCAAUGAAAAUAUGAUUUGGGGCACGUGACAAGUAACAGUCCACAAGGCCAGGCGAAGGUAUGUUUCUGAGAAUGUACCCAUGGAAAGAGUUUGAAAGUUUUUUCUUCUCAGGAGUUUCUUUGAAUGGUUUCUUUAGUGCUCAGAAUUUUUAAAUGGCAGAGGUUUAUUUAGAACAUUGAUUUGUUUUAUCUCUAAUGCUGCUCCAUAUUUUCAGAAUAUUAGUUUUUAAAUCCCAUGUUAUUUAGAGUACAUCCAAAAGCUAGUUAUCAAUUUUCUUAAACCAAUUAAGUUAUAACCUCUUGGCUAGAGCAAGUAAUCACUUGUUUUCUAGAUGAUUAUGAAAUUUAACCAACUUUGGAAGUAAAAUAGAAUGUACCUUAUAGAGAUUCACCAAAAUUCCUUGACUCAAAUAGCACUGAAAUAUAAUUUUUCUGUAUAGAAAAAUGUAUAGCUGUCUGUCUGAAUCUCCUAAUUAACUGUCAGGUGUAACUGGCAGAGGCUGAAAGGUCAAUUUAAUCAAAAUCUCAGAUAUACCAUCAAGUAAACAAAUAUAUACCGGACAAAGGCAAUGCUUAUAAAUUGUUCAAUUUUGUGAAAGUCUGAUAGUAAUGUCCAGUAGAUAUAAUUCUCUAAAUAGGUCUCUUUCUCUCUCUUGCUCUCUGACACACACAUGUAAACAUACACACCAAUUAGGAAAUAAGCCAUCCAGUAACCAUUUGUUACUGAGUACCUAUUAUUUUAUUAUUUUCUAGGAACUUUAGUCUUCUUCAAUAUGAUAGCUCAUCUAAUGCUCUCAAAACUCAUAAAGAUUGCCAUUUGUAUUUCCAUAUCAUAGGUGAAAGGCAAGUCUUAGAGGAGUAAAAGUGGUUAUCCAGGUACCAAUGACUAAAUAGGUCAGGUUUUACAUUCUGUGUUUUUGUGACUUCAAAAUCCAUGUUUAUUCCACUACACUAAUGGAGUGCCUAUUUCGAAUUACAAUUUAGCAUUCAUAAGCAAAUAAUUUCCGCUUUUUUAGCGAUCUUAUAUGAAAUAAGAGAUUAUAAAUAAAUGUAUUCCUAAAUCCCUGUUAGCUGACCUAUUAUAAGAUUAUGGCUAUAUUCUAGUUGUUGCAGGCAAGAAUUAGAAUCAUUAACUAUGUUCUAUCUAGAGUGCAUCUUAAUGGUAGGUGCUAUGCAGAGUGCAAGGGGAAGAAUACAGGAACUUGCUUAAAUGCUAGGAAAUGAAGAUUAGUAACUAUAUAGUAUGAACAUCAAGUUUUAUGUAAGGAAUAAGUCAAGAAUUUUAAUGGAUGAACAGUUAUUACCAGGAGAGGAAAACUGUAAGCAAAAAAAAAAAAAAAGCAAAUGAGAAAAUUAAGUCAAUAAUAUUUAAAAAGAAGAUAUAUAAUUGUGAGAACAAGUUUUACCAUGUAUGAAAUACAUAAUCAUUCCUGGGUGAGAUUUGUUGCCAUUAAUUCUUCUAUAGAAGGCUCUAGACUUGGAAUCUCACGACUUUAUGCACUUUUUUUUCUCUCAUAUCAAACUAAAGAAAGGCUACUCUGUUGGAUACACAUUAAGGGAUGGCAUCAUGAAUAUAGUGGAAAUUGGGUUGGGUCUCAAAGGAUAAGAAGAGUAACUGAAGGCAUAUAAAAUGAUUUUCCUAUGUACUUUAAAUUUCUCAUUCUGAUAGCAGGAUUACUAAAAUUCUUGGUAGAAAAUGUCUUUGCUUAGUAAAUUGCACUGAGUAUAAAACAAUGCUAGAGCAAGGGAAGAAAUGAACUGUUAAAAAUUAACUACAAAAGCUCAAUGGCAGAUUUUAAUGAGAUCAAUCUAACUGAGCCAAAAUUGAGGCUUUUUAUUACAGGAGCUCUAUGAUGCAAUUUUUUUAACAUUUGGAAAAUUACAAAAUUUUAUUAAUUCUGUAUACUACAGUUUAUUCAUAUUUAAGUAAAUACCAAAAUGAUAUUGAAUUUGAUUAAAAACUUUUAAAGCCUUCUGCUAAAAUUGUCUAUGGAGGCCAUGGAAGGAUCCUUUAAAAAUAAUAUCGCUGAUUGAUAGGAAAUUUUCACCCAUUGAGGAUGGGUUUGAUUUGAGAAAAUAGUAAGACCCAGUUUAAUAGCAGUAUGGCAAAUUAGGCAAAAGAUUCUAGGUGUGAAAUGCUGUUUUUGAUCAAAUUGAAGUGUGACUGAAAACUAACAUAAGUGAUUUGUGUGUCUGUGACUUAAAAACUAGGACUGAUGGCAAUUCCACAGGAAGAAUGAAAAAAUUUAAGCACCGUUAGAAUAUUUGAACAGUGUCUAAAAUCCUCUUGAAAUGGCUAUUGUGAAAGGAAAAACAAUCCCUAUUUCAAUAUUUUGCAAGUUUGUUAGAAAAUUUAAUUUUAUAUACUACUCAUAUUAGGUAUAGAAAGUAAAUAUAACAAACCAAAAUUGGACAUAUUAAAAUUCAUUUUAAUCAUCAGCAACAAAGCAGAAAGACUAACCUGUUUUAAAAAUUCAUUAAGUAUUUAGCCAAAAUUAUUUUAAAAUAGCAAAGGGAAAAAUAAAACCACUAGAGUAGAUAUUUCAAAAUCCUGGAUGACAGGUAAAUCAUUCAACACCUUUGAUUUUCAUAACUCUGGUAAUAUGCAGGCUUAUUUCGAGGUUAAAAUUAAAGAUUGCAUUCGGAAUUGUUUUGUCAAAUGCACAAUGCUGUAGAAAAGUUAAAAAUCUUGAUUGUGAUCAUUCACUUCCUUUUCAUUGUUAUUGUUGUGUUAGUGUUAUAUCAAGUAGGAUAUUGUAUUUGCCCAAUAACAUGUAAUUCGUUUCAAAGUGGCUCAAACAAUAAGUCCAUUUACUGUAUUGUGUAACAUUAAAUCCAAGGUAUUCGAG